UGGGGAAUCUUGCGCCAAUGCGCGAAAGCGUGACGCAGCGACGCCGCGUGGGGGAUGAAGGCCCUCGGGUUGUAAACCCCUUUCGCCAGGGACGAAGCGAGAGUGACGGUACCUGGAGAAGAAGUCCCGGCUAACUACGUGCCAGCAGCCGCGGUAACACGUAGGGGACGAGCGUUGUCCGGAUUCAUUGAGCGUAAAGCGCGCGUAGGCGGUCGUGCAAGUCGGUUGUGAAAUCCCGGGGCUCAACCCCGGGACUGCGUCCGAUACUGUGCGACUGGAGGCAGGUAGGGGAGAUCGGAAUUCCUGGUGUAGCGGUGAAAUGCGCAGAUAUCAGGAGGAACACCGGUGGCGAAGGCGGAUCUCUGGGCCUUGCCUGACGCUGAGGCGCGAAAGCUAGGGGAGCGAACAGGAUUAGAUACCCUGGUAGUCCUAGCCGUAAACGUUGGGUGCUAGGUGUGGGCGGACAUCGACCCCGUCGUGCCGAAGCUAACGCA
rnacentral:rRNA from 1 species